rnacentral:rRNA from 1 species
AGAGUUUGAUUCUGGCUCAGAACGAACGCUGGCAGCGUGGAUUAGGCAUGCAAGUCGAACGGGAAUCCGUGGCUUCAAGUCUUCGGACAAGAAAUCGCGGAGGAGAGUGGCGGAAGGGUGAGUAACGCGUGGGUAAUCUGCCCCCCGGUUGGGGAUAACGGUUGGAAACGGCCGCUAAUACCGGAUGUGGUACUCCUGGGCAUCCAGGGGCUACUAAAGGUGGGGAUCCUUCGGGACCUGCCGCUGGGGGAGGAGCCCGCGUGCCAUCAGCUUGUUGGUGAGGUAACGGCUCACCAAGGCUUACGGCUAGCUGGUCUGAGAGGAUGGUCAGCCACACUGGGACUGAGACACUGCCCAGACUCCUACGGGAGGCUGCAGUCGAGGAUCAUUGUCAAUGCGCGAAAGCGUGAACAUGCGACGCUGCGUGGAGGAUGAAGGCCUUCGGGUUGUAAACUCCUGUCAUGAGGGAAAAGCCGUCCGGUUCCGAACAGGGGCCGGGCCCGAUGGUACCUCAAGAGGAAGCCACGGCUAACUCUGUGCCAGCAGCCGCGGUAAUACAGAGGUGGCAAGCGUUGUUCGGAUUUACUGGGCGUAAAGGGUGCGUAGGUGGUUUCGUGUGUCGGAUGUGAAAUCCCGCGGCUCAACCGCGGAACUGCAUUCGAAACUGCGGAGCUAGAGUGCAGGAAGGGAGAGCGGAAUUCUUGGUGUAGCGGUGAAAUGCGUUGAUAUCAAGAGGAACACCGGUGGCGAAGGCGGCUCUCUGGAAUGCUACUGACACUGAGGCACGAAAGCUGGGGGAGCAAACAGGAUUAGAUACCCUGGUAGUCCCAGCCGUAAACGGUGUGCACUUGGUGUGGGGGGUAUUGACCCCCCCCGUGCCGGAGCUAACGCGUUAAGUGCACCGCCUGGGGAGUACGGUCGCAAGAUUAAAACUCAAAGAAAUUGACGGGGGCCCGCACAAGCGGAGGAGCAUGUGGCUUAAUUCGAUGCAACGCGAAGAACCUUACCAGGGCUUGACAUGCAGCUGCAAGCCCCCUGAAAGGGGGGCCGCCUUUGACGGUGCUGCACAGGUGCUGCAUGGCUGUCGUCAGUUCGUGCCGUGAGGUGUUGGGUUAAGUCCCGCAACGAACGCAACCCCUAUGGUUAGUUGCCACCGCAGGUGAUGAGCCUGUGAGCACUCUAGCCAGACUGCCCGUACAAGCGGGAGGAAGGUGGGGACGACGUCAAGUCAGUAUGGCCCUUACGUCCUGGGCUGCACACGUGCUACAAUGGUCGGUACAGAGGGACGCAAUACCGCGAGGUGGAGCAAAUCCCCAAAACCGGCCCCAGUUCGGAUUGGAGUCUGCAACUCGACUCCAUGAAGUUGGAUUCGCUAGUAACGGCGUAUCAGCUACGACGCCGUGAAUACGUUCCCGGGCCUUGUACACACCGCCCGUCACAUCAUGAAAGCCGUCUGGACCCGAAGUCGCUGAGCCAACCCGCAAGGGAGGCAGGUGCCGAAGGUCUGGGUGGUGAUUGGGAUGAAGUCGAAACAAGGUA